AGUGAACGCUGGCGGUAGGCCUAACACAUGCAAGUCGAACGGCAGCACAGUAAGAGCUUGCUCUUACGGGUGGCGAGUGGCGGACGGGUGAGGAAUACAUCGGAAUCUACUUUUUCGUGGGGGAUAACGUAGGGAAACUUACGCUAAUACCGCAUACGACCUACGGGUGAAAGCAGGGGAUCUUCGGACCUUGCGCGAUUGAAUGAGCCGAUGUCGGAUUAGCUAGUUGGCGGGGUAAAGGCCCACCAAGGCGACGAUCCGUAGCUGGUCUGAGAGGAUGAUCAGCCACACUGGAACUGAGACACGGUCCAGACUCCUACGGGAGGCAGCAGUGGGGAAUAUUGGACAAUGGGCGCAAUCCUGAUCCAGCUAUACCGCGUGGGUGAAGAAGGCCUUCGGGUUGUAAAGCCCUUUUGUUGGGAAAGAAAAGCAGUAGGUUAAUACCCCGCUGUUCUGACGGUACCCAAAGAAUAAGCACCGGCUAACUUCGUG
rnacentral:rRNA from 1 species